rnacentral:rRNA from 1 species
UACGGAGGGUGCGAGCGUUGUUCGGAAUUAUUGGGCGUAAAGGGCGCGUAGGCGGUCGGAUAAGUCUUGUGUGAAAUCUUCGGGCUCAACUCGAAGUCUGCACAGGAAACUAUCUGGCUUGAGUGUGGGAGAGGUGAGUGGAAUUCCUGGUGUAGCGGUGAAAUGCGUAGAUAUCAGGAGGAACACCUGUGGCGAAAGCGGCUCACUGGACCACAACUGACGCUGAGGCGCGAAAGCUAGGGGAGCAAACAGG